rnacentral:rRNA from 1 species
GAGAGACGGCCCAGACUCCUACGGGAGGCAGCAGUGGGGAAUCUUGCGCAAUGGCCGAAAGGCUGACGCAGCGACGCCGCGUGUGGGAGGACGCCUUUCGGGGUGUAAACCACUGUUGCCCGGGACGAAUAUCCUGUUGAGACAGGAUUGACGGUACCGGGUGAGGAAGCACCGGCUAACUCCGUGCCAGCAGCCGCGGUAAUACGGAGGGUGCGAGCGUCGUCCGGAAUCAUUGGGCGUAAAGGGCGCGUAGGUGGCGGGACAAGCGUGCGGUGAAAGCUCGGGGCUCAACCCCGCGUCGGCCGUGCGAACUGUUUUGCUGGAGCACUGUAGAGGCAGGCGGAAUUCCGGGUGUAGCGGUGGAAUGCGUAGAGAUCCGGAAGAACACCGGUGGCGAAGGCGGCCUGCUGGGCAGUUGCUGACACUGAGGCGCGACAGCGUGGGGAGCAAACAGGAUUAGAUACCCUGGUAGUCCACGCCGUAAACGAUGGGCACUAGGCGCUUGGGGGAGCGACCCCCCGAGGGCCGUAGCUAACGCAUUAAGUGCCCCGCCUGGGGAGUACGG